rnacentral:rRNA from 1 species
UACGUAGGGUGCGAAGCGUUAAUCGGAAUUACUGGGCGUAAAGCGUGCGCAGGCGGUGAUGUAAGACAGAUGUGAAAUCCCCGGGCUCAACCUGGGACUGCAUUUGUGACUGCAUCGCUGAGUAGUACGGUAGAGGGGGAUGGAAUUCCGCGUGUAGCAGUGAAAUGCGUAGAUAUGCGGAGGAACACCGAUGGCGAAGGCAAUCCCCCUGGGCGC